CAGCACUCCAGAUGUUUUGGACUACACCUCCCAUGAUGCUUUGCCAGCAUUAUGGGGGAUGUAGUCCACAACAUCUGGAGUGCCA